CCUUAUCUCCACUGAUCUUCCAAGACGCAAUGAGACAGAUGAGUAGACCUCUUAUCUAGCCUGCGUGCUGGGCAAUCCCUUCCUCUCUGUUAUCAUCUUUGGUUCUUCCCUUUCAGCUUUCCUCUUGCGGGACCUUGAAGGGGGUGCUGUGCCCUCCAGCCUGCUAGGUCUGGCAGGGACCUGGUCCUUGGAUAGUGCUCCUAGAGGGGAAUCAUAUGAAUUCAUCGGCCGGCUGAAUGAGAAACUCCUGUUAUAUGGCCAGCUCCCAUCAGCACUUGGGCCAGGAUGCAUGAACCAGAGUCCACAGAAUCUGAUCAUGAGAUUUUUGAAGAACAUUGUGAUUUUGAUAAGUUAUGUCCUCUUGAGAAGCAGACCGACUAAACUGAACACACUCACCCUCCUGCAAUUUCUAAUGGACCAGCUGUUCCACACAUCCCAGGAGACAUCUGAGACACUUUAUUUUGGGGCACUGCCUUUCUCUCCCCAUCAUUUGUGAAGUCAGCAUCAUCUUCCACCCUCUCCUGGCAUGGAGGAUCCCAAAGGGUUCUCAGAAGGCUGUGAGGUUGCCUGGGGUGGGAAUGCACAGGGAACUCAUAGAGACCUGGCCAAGAGCCCAAGGGUAUAGGUUUGGUUUCCAUCUGGGAGAUGUUUUGUUGCUGAGAGCUCAGAGGGACUGAGGUAGGUCUUGGCAGAAGGCAAAUGGUUAGAGGUUCAGGUUUGCUUCUGGCAUGCUGAAAACGAGGCAGAGAAUUGCCUAAGUUUCUUAUAUAAAAAUUAACCAGAUGAUCAGGUCA
rnacentral:lncRNA from 1 species